AACGAACGCUGGCGGCAUGCCUAACACAUGCAAGUCGAACGAGACCUUCGGGUCUAGUGGCGCACGGGUGCGUAACGCGUGGGAACCUGCCCUUAGGUUCGGAAUAACUCCCCGACAGGGGUGCUAAUACCGGAUAAUGUCUUCGGACCAAAGAUUUAUCGCCCUUGGAUGGGCCCGCGUUAGAUUAGCUAGUUGGUAGGGUAAAAGCCUACCAGGGCGUCGAUCCAUAGCUGGUCAGAGAGGAUGCUCAGCCACACUGGGACUGAGACGCGGCCCAGACUCCUACGGGAUGCAGCAGUGGGGAAUAGUGGACAAUGGGCGAAAGCCUGACGCAGCUAGGCCGCGUGAGUGAUGAAGGCCUUAGGGUUGUAAAGCUCUUUUACCCGGGAUGAUAAUGACAGUACCGGGAGAAUAAGCGCCGGCUAACUCCGUG
rnacentral:rRNA from 1 species